CGCCUGAGAGCAACUUUCCAUCUCAGGCUUACCCUGCCCAGUGAAUAACUUCAACGGCCGCGAUAUUUUAACCGUGCUAAGGUAGCGUAAUCAUUUGCCUCCUAAUUAGAGGCACGUAUGAACGGGAAACCGAGAAUAACCCUGUCUCUUUUCUGCCCAUAUAAACUUAUCUCUAGGUGAAAAAGCCUAGAUUAUUAUAAAAGACAAAAAGUCCCCGUCGAACUUUAAUCUCCCCUAGCCAAACCACAUCACAACCUAUUACGAUUUUCGUUGGGGCGACAAAGGAAUACAAACUUCCUACACACAUACGACAUCAAGUCACAUAUUAAAAGACCCUACCACUGAUCCUAGGACACA
rnacentral:rRNA from 1 species